UGAGUUGUCUGGUAAUGCAUUAAUUAUCCACCGGGGAGUGCUCACAGAUGCCAAGGCUAGACUCUCCAACAAGUCACUGAGGCACUCGUCGUAAUUACCGAGCUGUUUGUAAUUACCGGUUAUUACGCCAGACGGGAUCUUCGCUGACGCAUCGUACACUGGAAAGCAGUUUUGAAGAUUGCGUGAUUCGAUAUUUAUUGGGACUCAUUCUUAUUUAGGGGUAAACAGACCUGAUGACAGUUGGAGUUCUUCAGGAACUCCAAUCGAGUUCUCAUGGAAUUUUUGGAGAACUUUCUUUUUCGUUACGCAAAUCGCGUAGAAAAUCGCUGCGAAUUCGAAACGAGUGAUUUCUAUUGAAAAUAUUAUUCGUACAGAAAUAUUUUAUAGAAUAAUCUAGUCUUCCAAGGAAUUUAUUAACAAAAAAUGUUGUUAUUCUGCAUAAUUGUUAAAAAUU